rnacentral:sRNA from 12 species
GGAUCACUCCUCACGGAGUCAAGGCCAUACGGACAGCCGGGUCCACUGCCGA